rnacentral:rRNA from 1 species
GACGAACGCUGGCGGCGUGCUUAACACAUGCAAGUCGAACGCUGAAGCUUGGUGCUUGCACUGGGUGGAUGAGUGGCGAACGGGUGAGUAAUACGUGAGUAACCUGCCCUUGACUCUGGGAUAAGCCUGGGAAACUGGGUCUAAUACUGGAUAUGACAUGCCACUGCAUGGUGGUGUGUGGAAAGGGUUUUACUGGUUUUGGAUGGGCUCACGGCCUAUCAGCUUGUUGGUGGGGUAAUGGCCUACCAAGGCGACGACGGGUAGCCGGCCUGAGAGGGUGACCGGCCACACUGGGACUGAGACGCGGCACAGACUCCUACGGGAGGCAGCAGUGGGGAAUAUUGCACAAUGGGCGGAAGCCUGAUGCAGCGACGCCGCGUGAGGGAUGACGGCCUUCGGGUUGUAAACCUCUUUCAGUACGGAAGAAGCGAGUGACGGUACGUGCAGAAGAAGCGCCGGCUAACUACGUG